GGUCACGCAGCCAGUUAUGGCUGAGAUGGUAUGCAAACCCAGGCAGGUCAGGGCAGAAAGCCAAAGGUGGCGGUGGACCCAUGCCCACCCCAGGGUGGGGCUGUGCACCGUGGCUGUUCCCUGGCGAGAGGAAAGACGUCAAGAAUGUUUGACAGAGCUCAGCGUGAUGGUGACAUCCAGGCAGAGGGGCAUUCCACAGCUCCCAGUCAUCUGACUAUGGAGCUCUCACAGGCACUUCCUUAACCCCUGGGGACAUUUGGCUCUCCUGGGGCUGGGCAAUGAAGUUCCCGAGGCUCACGUGGAAGUCAGAGAGGGGGUGAGGCUGGUGCUCGAGGGAGCAUAAACGGACCCCUCUGGCUGCAGGUGGGUGAUGGCCUCAGGGACUGUGCAGAGGCCGGAGACCACGGAGGCGGUGACUGCGAUAGUUCCGGUCGGAGAGGAUGGAGGGCAGACCAGGGUGACCACGGAGGCAUUUUACAGACCCAAAAAAAUGCGAAGGGUCUUCCCAGCCGCCAGGCUUACACUGAGAACACUUUCUGGGAUGUUCUUGGGACUGUGACCUGAAUGGGGACCACGGAUCCUGGGCAAAAUCAUGCAAUGACUUUCCUCUUCCUAGGAGCAGGAAUGUAGACGUGAUGGCAGUGCCAGAGCAGUUACCUUGGACCAUGAGGUGGAAACUGCCGGUUGAAGAUGGAAGAGCAGCUGUAAGAUAGCAAGAAUCUGAGUCCCUGAUACCACGAAGCUGAUGUGGGCUCGGCGAGCUGAGGAGUCAGAAGAAAGAUUUCUUGGAGUCUUAAGCAUGGAGCCUGCAUCUCGCCAGUGCAUCUCUUAAAUAAACGUAUGGAUGAGUGCAUGACGGGGAGCCGUGAGGUCCAGCCCUGCACCUGGAAAAAGGCACAAAGACCACACUCAAGCCUGGGUGGAAGCAUCGUCCAAAUGCAGUGGAAAAAUUUAUGGCCAGAGGAACUAGUUCCAAACCUGGCCCUUCUCCUCGCUUGCUGUGUGCCCCUGGAUAACCCACGUGCCCUCUCUGGGCCUGACACUCCUUGGUUGCAAACCAGGCUUAGCAAAUUCAUGGACUCUGUGCAAUUUAAAGAUUUUCAUUGCUCUUUGCAAUUCUAUUUCUAGAAAUCCAUUCCCAGAGAAAUUCUCACCUCACACCCCAUGAACACAGGUACAAGGAUGUAGCUUGGUUUGUGGAGUAAAACCCUGGAAAUAUCCUCAAAGGUGAUUAAUUAAACUGUGGCACAUUCAUGUUCUAGAGUGCUAGAGAGCUGACUGUGGCCGCGAGGAAUUCUCUGGUGACACUUGCUGGCACAGAAUGACACUGCAGCCCAGCUCAGCAAGGCACUGGGAAUUUCCAGAACCAGAGAGGCUCAGGGUAGCUGUGAGGAUGGUCUGGGAAGCCAUAGACCAGGGGGAGGUUUGGGAGGACGGCUGAGGCAAGGUGACUGGCCAGGGUGUGAAGUCGAGAGCAGAGACCCGGGUGUGAACUCUAGCUUCACCACUUCCUAGCCGGCAGAGCUUGGGCAGAUUAGGGACUUUCUCUGACCCUCAGUCUCUUCUUCUAGAGAAUGAGAUGUCUGAUGAGGAUUCAAAGAGAGAAUUCAUUCAUUCAUCAUCUAUUGAACCAACACUGAGCCCCUCUGAUGUCAGUGGUUGGUGAGAGUCUCCAGGCACUGAGGGUGCACCAGGACCCGGUCCUGCCCUCAUGGGGCUCUCAGUCUAGUGGGGGAGACAAUCAACAAGUAAACGGGCAGACAAGGUAAUUUCAGGUACUGAUGACACCGUAAAGGAAAAUAAAGCAGGGGAUGGGUCUGGGGGUGGAGGCACAUUACAGACAGGGGCUCGGGGAGGGCGUCUCGGAGGGGGUGUGAGCAGAGGCCUGAAGGAGCUGCAUCUUGGAGCACAACAUAUAAGACGCCAGUGGAUGAGCCUGGCACAUAGCAAAUCUCAAUAAACGCUGGGUCAUUGUCUCAUCACGCGGGAAAGGAAUUAAAGGGAGACUGGAAUCCGUCUCCUGGGGUCUGAGGCAGGCACGAGAGUGAGAAGAUUCCCGGGGCCUGGAGGGGGAGAAGCAGCCCCUGGACCGAGCGGCCCCAGCUCUGGAGGCCUUGCGCAAACAAGUGUCUAAGCCUCCAUUUCGUCCUUCGGAAAACAAGGCCAAUAAUGCCCACCCUGUGAUAUUGGGGGUUGUUACGGGCUGAACUGUGUCCCCCCAAAUCCAUGUAUUGAAGUCCUAGCCCCCAGGACCUCCAGUGGGACUGUGUUUGGAGAGAGGUUUUUGAAGAGGUGGUUAAGGUAAAAUGAGGUCAUGAGGGUGGGCCCGAAUACACUAGGACCGGUGUCCCUGUGAGAAGAGGAGAUGAGGUCACGGGCACACACAGAGGGAUGACCUUGUGAAGACACAGGGAGAGGACAACCAUCCACAAGCCAAGGAGAGAGGCCUCAGAGGGAACCAAUGCUGCUGACACUGAUCUUAGACUUCCAGCCUCCAGAACCACAAGACGAUAAACUUCCAUGGUUUAAGCUGCCCGGUCUGCGGUCCUUUCUUAUGGCAGCUGUGCAGGGGAGUACGGGUGACGUAGGACACAGGCACACAGGGCCCUCGAGAGAGGCUGCCCUGGAGCCCGACUCGUGAACCCUCAGCAUCUCUGCGGACUCCAGGCCAGUCUCGAGAUUGCCGCGGUUGCUCUGAAGCUGGGCCCAGUGUGCCUCUGGAUUGCCUAGCCUUGGGGACCCAGCUCACUUAGUUUCUGCCCUGCCCUCUGGUUCAUUACUCCAUCAAUCCACAAACUUCACGUGGUGCCCCUGCGGCCAUUCUGUAAAUUAUGGCGUGGCGGGUGCAUCAGCUGGGGUCCAGUCUGGAAAGCGGAGAUCACUCUGGGCAUUUCAAACAGAAGGAAUGGCAUACAGGGAAUUGCUUAUACAGACGAUGGGAGAGCUGAGACGCCAAAAAGGCAGGAUUCGGCACCCUGGAACGGGCCACAGCCGGAGGCCAGAGGGACAGAAGGAGGCUGUGGUGUCACUGGAUACAAAAAGCCAGGGCUGGAACCACAUGGGGGCUGCCUGGUGGGAACUGGGACCAGGAAGGGAGGGCCUCUUGGGCAGGGGCUGGUGCUCUCUGUCCUCAGAGCCAUUGCCCACCCUUCCUCCAUUCUUCACUGAAUUACAGAGGGGCUGACCUCUGCCGGCUGCAUUGCCCAGACUCCGGGUCGGCUGACUUCCCAUUGGCCAAUAGGUGGCCCUGAUGGGAGACAGGAGGCUGGAGGAAGGGAGAAGCAGAAUAUUUCUCCCUCUCUUCUGACAUCUUGGGCUGCAUCUCCAUCAACCGUGGUGUCUCCCCCAGGGCUCCAGCCCCUGCAGGACAGUCCACAGUGCUUCCAGCUUCGCAGAGUGACCACAGGGCUACUGUAAUGUUACCUCCUCCUGCCAUCCCUCCAGCUUCAAGGUGGCAAUGGCUUUCUGCUGAAAUCUCUGAGCUGCUUCACCGUCUCUUGUUUGGCUUCUGGGCCCCUCCGUCAUCUCGGUACCGCGUUCUCUGCUGGAAAGUCUGUCUGUGUAAACGCUCAGUGGUUUCCUUUCCCGAUAUGAGGAAAGGACCUGAGAGCUAACUGGCAAGCGGCCAGCCCAGAAGGCCUCUCUUGCCCCUUUGUCCUUCUUACAGAUAAAAGCCGGGCGGCCUGCAGAUGGCAGAAUCAGCUGGGUGUUAGGGAUCAAAGGCUGGCCCUCGAGUCAGGCAGGUCUCCUUUUGUCCUAGCUCUGCCACUUGUCAGCUCUGUAAACUUCAGCAAGUCACCUCCCCUCCCAGAGGCCUCAAUUCCCUCACCUGUCUCGUGGGGAUAAGGAUCGUGCCUUCGACUCAGGGUUGCUCUGAGGAUUUGAUGAGAUGUGGCAUGGAAAGAACUUAGCCACAGCCUUAAAAAAGAAUAGGAAAGAGGAGACUUGCCCUACAGUGGUCGAAAGGCAUGCCCCAUUAUAAUAAAGUCAACGGGGUGCUGGCACAGGCAGAAACAGGUCAGAAGCAGAGCAGUGGCCCGAAGCAGGCCCUGGACAUGUGAGAACUAAACCAGUCAGGCAGCCCCACAGCCCACCUCGGAAAGGACAGCCGUUCGGGAGAUGGCGUUGGGGAACCGGCCUCCAUAAAACUGGACCUUUACACCACACUGCAAACAAAGGCGGACUCUAGAUGGAGCGAAGACUGGAAGUGGAGCGCAAAAUUAUGAAAUUCGCAGAUGUUAUAGCCACAUAAUGGAAUACUCUUCAAGCCAUAAAAAGGAAUGAAAUUGUGACACAUGCUACGACAUAGAUGGACCUUGAAAACAUUAUGCGGAGUCCAAUAAGCCAGACACAAAAGGACAAAUAUUGUAUGAUGCCAUUCAUACGAGGUACCUAGGAUAGGCAAAUUCACAGAGGUGGAAAGUAGAAUGGUGGUUGCCAGAAGCCAGAGGGAGAGAGAAUGAGGAGUCAUGGUUUAAUGGGAACCGAGUUCCUAUUGGGAAUGCUGAAAAAGUUUUGGGUACAGAUAGUGGUGAUGGCUACACAGCACUGUGGACGUAAUUAACGCUGCUGAAUUGGACACCUACAAAUGGCUAAAGAAAAUAUUAUAUACAUUUUACCACACCCACAAAAGGUUUACCCCCACCCCAAAAUUAGUAGAAGAAAAGUCAGAAAGUAUCUUUCUGCCUAGAGGUGAGAAAGAACUUCUUAAAUCAAAUUUCAAAAGCACGACUGUAAAGAAAGCCACUCAAAAACGGUCAGGGAAUUUGAACGGGCAUCUCUCCAAAGAAGAUAUACAAAUGGCCAAAAGGCACACGAAAAGAUGCUC